AAGGCUGAGGCGUGAUGACGAGGCACUACGGUGCUGAAGCAACAAAUGCCCUGCUUCCAGGAAAAGCCUCUAAGCAUCAGGUAACAUCAAAUCGUACCCCAAACCGACACAGGUGGUCAGGUAGAGAAUACCAAGGCGCUUGAGAGAACUCGGGUGAAGGAACUAGGCAAAAUGGUGCCGUAACUUCGGGAGAAGGCACGCUGAUAUGUAGGUGAAGUCCCUCGCGGAUGGAGCUGAAAUCAGUCGAAGAUACCAGCUGGCUGCAACUGUUUAUUAAAAACACAGCACUGUGCAAACACGAAAGUGGACGUAUACGGUGUGACGCCUGCCCGGUGCCGGAAGGUUAAUUGAUGGGGUCAGCGCAAGCGAAGCUCUUGAUCGAAGCCCCGGUAAACGGCGGCCGUAACUAUAACGGUCCUAAGGUAGCGAAAUUCCUUGUCGGGUAAGUUCCGACCUGCACGAAUGGCGUAAUGAUGGCCAGGCUGUCUCCACCCGAGACUCAGUGAAAUUGAACUCGCUGUGAAGAUGCAGUGUACCCGCGGCAAGACGGAAAGACCCCGUGAACCUUUACUAUAGCUUGACACUGAACAUUGAGCCUUGAUGUGUAGGAUAGGUGGGAGGCUUUGAAGUGUGGACGCCAGUCUGCAUGGAGCCGACCUUGAAAUACCACCCUUUAAUGUUUGAUGUUCUAACGUUGACCCGUNAUCCGGGUUGCGGACAGUGUCUGGUGGGUAGUUUGACUGGGGCGGUCUCCUCCUAAAGAGUAACGGAGGAGCACGAAGGUUGGCUAAUCCUGGUCGGACAUCAGGAGGUUAGUGCAAUGGCAUAAGCCAGCUUGACUGCGAGCGUGACGGCGCGAGCAGGUGCGAAAGCAGGUCAUAGUGAUCCGGUGGUUCUGAAUGGAAGGGCCAUCGCUCAACGGAUAAAAGGUACUCCGGGGAUAACAGGCUGAUACCGCCCAAGAGUUCAUAUCGACGGCGGUGUUUGGCACCUCGAUGUCGGCUCAUCACAUCCUGGGGCUGAAGUAGGUCCCAAGGGUAUGGCUGUUCGCCAUUUAAAGUGGUACGCGAGCUGGGUUUAGAACGUCGUGAGACAGUUCGGUCCCUAUCUGCCGUGGGCGCUGGAGAANNNNNNNNNUGAGGGGGGCUGCUCCUAGUACGAGAGGACCGGAGUGGACGCAUCACUGGUGUUCGGGUUGUCAUGCCAAUGGCACUGCCCGGUAGCUAAAUGCGGAAGAGAUAAGUGCUGAAAGCAUCUAAGCACGAAACUUGCCCCGAGAUGAGUUCUCCCUGACUCCUUGAGAGUCCUGAAGGAACGUUGAAGACGACGACGUUGAUAGGCCGGGUGUGUAAGCGCAGCGAUGCGUUGAGCUAACCGGUACUAAUGAACCGUGAGGCUUAACCUU
rnacentral:rRNA from 1 species